CAUAAUUGAAAUUCAAUUAGGAUUGGUCUCCGUCGCCCAGCCACUCAAGUUUCACACGAUCGCAUUAGUUGCUGCCCAAAUCAUAAGCUGCCGAGAUCCAAUCGCGUCACUGUCAUGGUUCAGAUCAGCCAUUCACAUCUGCUUGGAGCCGUACUGGUGCCAGGUCCACGCCAACCACCCAUCGCCGGUCAGUUGCGCCACUCGCGUGGGUCCAGUUGUUUGAGUCUUCGCAACCCAGCGCCAUCGCGACUUCUCGUGCCACACCUCUAUCAAGGCUUGCUCGCGUCGUCGUCAUUCACGUCCAACCGCUUGCCUCUAUUGAAGCCACACUGCUGCCGCUGUGAAUGAAGUCGCGCUACCGGAAACCGUGAUUGACAUCCGAUUUGCGUUCAGCACUAGUUUCGUCAGUGCGAUUCGUUGUUUAGGUUUUCGUCGGAACUUGGAUUUUGAGUUGUGUUAUUGAUUGCAGGUUCUUUAAAGUAAAGCUAAAGUUCAGGUUUGGCCAAAAAAAGUUUAAAUUUAAUUAUAAAGCGUCCUUAGGAUUUGGGCCAAGAAGUUUCUCAAGUUAAGAAGAUUGGAUUGCUUUGUUUACAUUGAGACGGAAGCAGACUAGCGAGUGACGAGAGGGACUGGUGACCAAGCUAUAUCGGACAUAAAAAUUGCUUCUGCUAAGUUUAUGUUAUGUCUUUUUAAAAAGGUUAUUUGAAUGUUUUGAAAUUAGAUUUUAACGUUAGAUAGAAUGUUUUAUAUUUUGAAUGUUUUCUUUCUAAGUAUUUUUAGGGGCCCCAAGCAAAGAUUUUACUUAUUUGUUUUUUAUUAGUUUUCUAGUUUGGUUUGUAAAGUUGUCUUUAUCGUUUUAAUAGAUUUUUUCCCUCAAUGGUCUAAAUGUUUGUGUUUUAUUGUGUAUUUAUGAGUAACGGCCAUUGUUAAAAUACUCAAAGGGUAGGGUCGCUACACCUAGAAAGUAGGACAAUUCCCCUACCAUGCUCAUCUGAAAUUCCUAUUGCAUUUGUUUCACAAAGUGCUCAACCAUCUUCUGUGACAUUCCACCGAAGACAAUAUCGUCAACGUAGAUUUGGACAAAACAAAAUUCUCAUGAGAUUUCUUUACAAAGAGGGUUCUAUCAACUCCUCCUCACUUAUACUCAUUGUUGACAAAAAAAAAAUUGGGUUAAACGUUCAUACCAGGCCCUAGGUGCCUGUCUAAGUCAAGGAAUCGAAUUCCCGCGGAAGCAUGAAACACCUUGAUUAAGACAUUCAAUUUUUAUUGAAACCAAAAGAGUAAAAUAAAAACAUGCAUUUGUUGGAUAAAUAUUCAAACAAAACUAUAAGCAUGUUAGAAAAGAGGAAGAAAAGGAGAAAUCAAAACUCACCUUUGUUGAUUCUUCUAGCUUUCCUCUUCCACCGUUAUCAACGAUCUCGAACUUCCCAAUGAAGAAGGGCACCACCAACAAAAUUACCUUGCUAUUCACUACGAGUAUGGCCUGCUUUGUAGAUGUUACAAUUAUUGUAAAGUGCUACAAAUGAUCUGAUCUUGAUCAUUCAUGUGGAGACAUGUGAGCGGGGAUAUUCUAUACAAAGAAGUUUGUAUAAGA